rnacentral:rRNA from 1 species
UACGGGGGGAGCAAGCGUUGUUCGGAUUUACUGGGCGUAAAGGGCGCGUAGGCGGUCGUGACAAGUCACUUGUGAAAUCUCCGGGCUUAACUCGGAACGGUCAAGUGAUACUGUCGGACUAGAGUACAGAAGGGGCAACUGGAAUUCUCGGUGUAGCGGUGAAAUGCGUAGAUAUCGAGAGGAACACCUGCGGCGAAGGCGGCAUCCUGGACCGGCAUUGACGCUGAGGCGCGAAAGCCAGGGGAGCAAACGGG